CUACGGGGGGCUGCAGUAAGGAAUAUUGGUCAAUGGAGGAAACUCUGAACCAGCCAUCCCGCGUGAAGGAUGAAGGGGCUCUGCCUUGUAAACUUCUUUUGUCUGGGGCGAAAAAGCUCGAUUUAUCGAGAACUGACGGUACCAGAAGAAUAAGCACCGGCUAACUCCGUUCCAGCAGCCGCGGUAAUACGGAUGGUGCAAGCGUUAUCCGGAAUCACAGGGUUUAAAGGCGGCGUAGGAAGUCUGUUAAGAAAGGCUGUGGCUUAUCCAUGGAAUUGCCAUUGAUACUGCAGAGCUUGAAUGAGGUUGAGGUUGGCGGAAUGUGACAUGUAGCGGUGAAAUGCUUAGAUAUGUCAUGGAACACCGAUUGCGAAGGCAGCUGACUGGACCUAUAUUGACGCUGAGGCACGAAAGCGUGGGGAGCGAACAGGAUUAGAUACCCCUGUAGUC
rnacentral:rRNA from 1 species